UCAUGAACUUUAUAAAAUUUUCAAGAAAAUUUGCAUAGCAUUAGGCCAUUACCAUUACAUAACAGCUGUUAACUGCGAACCCAGUAGCGACCGCGAUUUAAAACCAUGACAUGACUAGUAUCAAAUAUGAUCAUCAUUAUCAAAUAUAGUUUAUCAGUAGAUAGGAAGCAGAUGUAGUGUACUCCAGAAAAGUUGCACAAGCAGAAAGAGUUAUAAAGCCCAAGAUGUCAACAAAAAAUCUGAUUUUUCAACCUGUGUAAAGGAUGCAUAGGUUGGAUUUAUCUCACCAGUUUGUUGCAUUGUGUAAUUCAAGUUAAAUACAACCCAUCACUACAAGGGUAAAGAUUUUCCUCAAAUAUUUGUGGUCAGCUGCAUGGACCUCUUCAUAAUUCAUGUAUUUGAUAAGAUAUGAUAGAUGCAUCUAACAGCAUUUCCAGAGCCACAUACCAUAAAUAUAUGAAAUAAAAUCCAUAU
rnacentral:misc_RNA from 1 species